UGCUGCUCCACCCCUGGUAUUGGUUUCUAAUAUCUUACCCUGGCAGGAGGUCAAGAAUCCAGGAGGACUCAGAUUUGGGUCCAGGCUCCUGUUCUAUUUCCUUCCCUUUAUGGCAGUAAUGGAUUUCCUGUGCUUCCCUCCCUUUCCUCUACUACUUCUGUAUAGAUGUGACCAUUACAUAGCUGGGAGAAAACGGAUUACCAGGCAACGCUUGUCAUUGCCACCACUCUGCCACCCAUUUGUCUGUUUGCAGAACCAGACUCAUCGUGCAGAGGUUUUUAAUUGCUGUAUUUGUUUUAGCAAUGUUGUGUGAGGCCACGGCUUUCAAAGCCAUGGCAGGCUGGGAAGUUAUUGUGCCUGUUGCCUAUAUUUCCCCAUCUUCAGCAAAUCAUCGAGAGAGACUUCUGGGUGUUUCUUGCAACCUCUGGAUGAGGAAGAUUAUCAGUAAGAUCUUUGAAAAUAAAGCAUAUGACUGUUCCUUCAAACAACAGCAUAUGACUGGAAACUCAUUCAAGUGAUGACUGCAAAUGAUCCUUGGAAAACAGUCUCAGGGUUACCAAGAAAACUGAGGAAUUGUCCAAGUCCAGCAAGUUUGCAAGAAAAUAUGAAGAUCGGAUCACAAGAUGAAGGGGUUUUGUGAAGUUCUGGGUCCUCUUCUUAUUGCAAUCAGCACAGUAAUUCAGGGUUUUUAUUACGGCAAUAAUACUGAAACCUGUCACUUGCUAUUUCUGUCCCAGUGAGAUGCAUGUCACUUAUCUUAAAAAUUUACAGAUUACCCCCACACAUCCGUAUAAGAGUCAAGAAGAUCUCGAACUAUUGCAGCUGCUUGAAGAUGAGCCAUGAUGUGAUACAGGCACCUAUGGAACAGCUGGAAGAGGUGUGAUGACAAGGUAAAGUCUCAUAUUGGCUGAAAGUUUGUGGCAAACAACAGAGGUAGUUCCUCUGGUUCUAUCCAGGCUGUACCUUGUCUUUGACUUCCCAGCAGCAUUUAAACCCAAAGAUAAAUUAAUGCCCACAAGCAAGGAAGAGGUCACACAGAUCAUGCUCUGCAGUAAUAGAGCUUUACUGCCAGCUUUACUGGAUGAUUUGGCCAAGACCUGAGCUUUUCCCUAAGAGGGAUAGGCCACCAAU
rnacentral:lncRNA from 1 species